AUAUUUUCUGUGUUGAUGCAAUGUACUCAGGUGAAUAUAUGCUUCAGACUCAGAGUAACAUCACAAGCAUAUAUUCACCUGAGUACAUUGCAUCAACACAGAAAAUAUCAUGAUGAGUU
rnacentral:miRNA from 1 species